CAAACAUCAAGCAGUCAGAAGCUGACAGCAGGUGUCCCUGCCCCUGGCCUGCAGAUCCGAUGGAGCCCUGAUGGGCACUGAUCUAGAUUCAUGUAUUCAGCCCCCGCAGCAGGCCUGAAGCUGUCCUCUAGUUCAGUGGCUUUCCAGAGUCUAUACAGGGCACCCACUGCUGAAGCAAUCCUCCUAAGUU